UACAGGGGGUGCAACCGUUGCUCGGAAUUAUUGGGCGUAAAGCGCGCGUAGGCGGCUACUUAUGUCGGAUGUGAAAGCCCUUGGCUCAACUGAGGAGGCGCACCCGAAACUGGCAGGCUAGAGUACUAAAGAGGAUCGCGGAAUUCCCGGUGUAGAGGUGAAAUUCGUAGAUAUCGGGAGGAACACCGGUGGCGAAGGCGGCGAUCUGGGUAGAUACUGACGCUGAGGUGCGAAAGCGCGGGGAGCAAACAGG
rnacentral:rRNA from 1 species